CCUAUUCCGUCCGCCGGAUCGUGGACUCCCGUCGGCAGGGUCGCGGGAGGCAAUACCUUGUUGACUGGGAGGGCUACGGUCCGGAGGAUCAGUCGUGGGUCCCGGGUCCGUUCAUCCUGGAUCCCUCACUUAUUGCUGAUUAUCGUUCGUCCUUUCCUUCCUGUUCGUCUCGGUCGCCAGGUGGCGACCGUUGAGGAGGGGUACUGUCAGGUUCUGGGGUUUUUGUUCAUUUUUUUCUUUAUUUUUGGAUCCUCUUGGUGGUUCACGGGCUGUCCACCAGAUAGCGCCAGAGGCUGGUUUCCCGGGGGAGGCGUGCCUGUAGUUCUGCACACCUGACGAUGAUCUUCUCAUCAUCAGCUGGAGGUGAAAAGACGCUGACAGCCAGGACUUCGACGCUGGAGUGUUUUCGCCUAAACGGUGUUUCCUCUCGAGUCAUUCCCUGGAUCCUCCCUGAGAGACUUCCGUUGUGGCUUUUGGAUUAAGCCCUCCUCGUGACGCCGCGGGUGGUACCCACACGUUGCCCGAGUUCCCAUUUCCUCCUCAUCCGUCGGAUCUCAAGAUUCCCCAGUUUCACUUCCUCCGGCUGGCUGUCGGACCCUUCCCUCCAUCAUCGUCGAAUCCAGAACUUACCUGUCCGCCCUCCACCGCCAUCUCCCAGCCUUUGGACCUCGCUCAGCUCUGCUGCCCAACCGGAACCCGCAGUAUCCACCCUCUCAAUCCGAGACUAUAUCUACCAGAAAGUAAGAACUGAUUUUCCCAUCUCGCACAUCCUGUUUCCCAGCUGCCAUUGAACUCACCAUUUCCUUUUCGCUGUUCUGCAGUGAGCCGCAGUCAGCAGCAUUCCCCCCCAGUUUGGACCCUAACCACGCCAACAUCUUUACUGGGUUAUUGUUUUACAAUAAAUAUUCUUCAACUGA